AAUCUGUCGUCUGUUCAAACUAACCUAUAAAAUAUGCGACGCGACGCCGUAGUGAAGUAACCGUUGAUAUUUUUUGCUACAAUAUUUAUUUACAGUUUACUCGUUAUAUUAUUGAAUAAAAAUAACGAUUUGCACAUAAAUUGGUUUAAGAUUUAGAUGACUUGUGGUGAAUUAAGAUGAGCAGUUAUAGUAUGAUUGUUUCAAUUUGUUGUUUUUGUAAAGCAAGAAUAAUAUGAUAUUUUUUACAUUACGGUACCGAUACCUAGUUUUAGUUCACAAACAAUUAUUCAUUCUAUCAAAUAUAAAUAAUUGAAAGAUUUCUCUCAAUCUCUUAAAGUUAAAGUUUUAAAUAUUAACUGAAGUUUGAACCAACUUUUUUUAAAAAUGAGUGGUGGACUAGCUCCAAGCAAAAGCACUGUAUAUGUUUCAAAUCUUCCUUUCUCGUUGACCAAUAAUGAUCUCCAUAAAACUUUUGAAAAGUACGGUAAGGUAGUAAAGGUAACAAUUGUGAAAGACAAGGUGACAAGGAGAAGUAAAGGUGUAGCUUUCAUUCUUUUUCUAAAUAAGGAAGAUGCCAAAAAAUGUGCUUCAUCAAUCAACGGUAAAGAAAUAUUCGGUCGUACGUUAAAGAGCAGCAUAGCGGUUGACAACGGUCGUAGCGCUGAGUUCAUCCGGAGGAAGUCGUAUCCGGACAAGAGUCGCUGCUACGAGUGCGGAGAGGACGGCCAUCUCAGCUAUGCCUGCCCCGCCAACCUGCUGGGGGAGCGACCGCCUCCACCCAAGAAGGAGCGCAAACGCAAGAAAAAUAGUGGCGAACAGGGAAAGAGCAAUGCACAAUUCUAUGACGACUCAGACGAUGAUGAUUGGCGUGACUGUACUCCCAAAAAGUCGUCAAAAGUGUCAAAAACUAAUGACACUGAUGAAGAGGACACACCUAAUGACAGUUAUGAUCCCGAUGAUGAAACGUUAAGUGCUGCCAUACAGCAUGAGCAAGAGCUAGCCGAAAUCGAGAAAUACAGGUACAAGGUGGCUACAGGAAAUUAUUCUGAGGAAAAUACAGACAAUUCAGUAUUGAAGAAGAAACGAUUCAAAAAAGAUUCUUAUUUCAGUGACGAAGAGGAGAUCAGUGAUUAAUUUGUGAAGAGAUGGAAUGAGAAAACUAUUUGAAGAUUUUUUGCUGUGAAUAUAUUAUAUUUUUUAGGACGGCUGUGCAAU